rnacentral:ncRNA from 1 species
AAAAAGGCUAGGAAGAGAAGAGUAGUCUUUCUAACACUUACAGAGAGCCUUCGGUUGGUGGAAGAAGGUAGUGAAAGAAUGGUGAAACAAGACUCGGAGCUGCAUACGGAUAUAAAAUUAGGAAUACCAAGUAUUAAUGGUUACCAGAGAAUUAAUGAAUACCACUGGAGAAAUAAUGGUAACCUGAAUAUUAAUGGCUACUAGAGAAUUAAUGAUUACCAGAAUAUUAAUGGUUGUUGCCUUAUUUUAUUGAUGCUAUGACGGUUGUCUCCGUUACAGGACUAGAGUAUCUAAGUGUACUUGAUAAGGUUGAUAUGGUGACGUAUCAAUGAAAUAGGGUGGUACCGCGAAUUCAUUCGCCCCUUGC